rnacentral:rRNA from 1 species
AGCGAACGCUGGCGGUAGGCCUAACACAUACAAGUCGAACGGCAGCACAGUAAGAGCUUGCUCUUACGGGUGGCGAGUGGCGGAAGGGUGAGGAAUACAGCGGAAUCUACUUUUUCGUGGGGGAGAACGUAGGGAAACUUACGCUAAUACCGCAUACGACCUACGGGUGAAAGCAGGGGAUCUUCGGACCUUGCGCGAUUGAAUGAGCCGAUGUCGGAUUAGCUAGUUGGCGGGGUAAAGGCCCACCAAGGCGACGAUCCGUAGCUGGUCUGAGAGGAGGAUCAGCCACACUGGAACUGAGACACGGUCCAGACUCCUACGGGAGGCAGCAGUGGGGAAUAUUGGACAAUGGGCGCAAGCCUGAUCCAGCCAUACAGCGUGGGUGAAGCAGGCCUUCGGGUUGUAAAGCCCUUUUGUUGGUAAAGAAAAGCAGCAGGUUAAUCCCCCGCUGUUCUGACGGUACCCAAAGAAUAAGCACCGGCUAACUUCGUG